rnacentral:tRNA from 1 species
CAAAGUAGGUGUACUGGAAAGUGUACCUAGAAAGAUCAAAUUAAAGCUUUAUAGAUAAGUUUUUCAUUUA